rnacentral:misc_RNA from 1 species
GAUGAAGAACGUAGCGAAAUGCGAUAAGUAAUGUGAAUUGCAGAAUUCAGUGAAUCAUCGAAUCUUUGAACGCACAUUGCGCCCCUUGGUAUUCCAUGGGGCAUGCCUGUUCGAGCGUCAUUUGUACCUUCAAGCCUUGCUUGGUGUUGGGUGUUUGUCUCGCCUCUGCGCGCAGACUCGCCUCAAAACAAUUGGCAGCCGGCGUAUUGAUUUCGGAGCGCAGUACAUCUCGCGCUUUGCACUCACAACGGCGGCGUCCAAAAGUACAUUUUUACACUCUUGACCUCGGAUCAGGUAGGGAUACCCGCUGAACUUAAGCAUAUCAAUAAGCGGAGGA